rnacentral:lncRNA from 1 species
UUACAUUUUUCUGAUAUAAUGCCCUUAAAUUUGAAUCAAAUCAGUUCAGUUCCUUUCGAUUCCUAAGGGCCCGUUUGAUAUGGGUUUAAAAGCAGGAUAAGUUAAAUUAAUAUGAAUUUAUGCAGUGUUUAAUAUUAUGUGCUAUUAAUAUGGUAACUCCAGGUUUAUCCCAAGAUCCUAGCUUAUUUUGUGAGAUUAACCCACACUAAUUAUACCACCCUCCCCAUGGGAUAAAUUUAAUACCGAGAUGUUAAAAUUAAAAAUUGAUACCCUUUUCACGCUAAACGAUGCUGUGAGGAUACCAAUGCCUCCAUCUUAUUUUCAGAUUUGAGGACACGAAUGUCUUUUGGUAAAAUAUGUGAGGAUAAUUUAGGUAUUUGAUAUGUUAAUCCAACCUAUUCCAAUGGAUACCAAACACU